rnacentral:lncRNA from 1 species
AUGGGGUUAAUACAGCCUAGGAAGCCAGGGCAGGAAGGUGUGCAGGGGGCCAGGGGGCAGCAGACACCUCAGCCAAAAACAGACUGGGUGGGGAGGGAGGUCUGCUGGCAACCUUCCAGAAUGUGCACAGACCCUGAGGCAGCAGCCUGCCUCCCCUGCCUGGGGACUUACAUGGAAAGAGGGGAGAGUGGAAGGCAGCAGCCAGAGGUGGCCAGCCCGCCUAGGCGGGGCCUCAUAGUGGACUUGAACCCUGAGGGAAUGAGGCAGGUGGUCGGGGAGAGGCCCGGGGCUCUGCCAACUCAGAAUUCUAACAACCCUAGGGGGCGCUGUACGUCCAGGCUGGAGCUAGGGUACUUUCCAGAGGGCUUGAGUCUGAGUCCAGAGUCCUCGCCUCCCCAUCUGUCUUCCUGGUCACCACAGCCAGCUCGUCCUGCCCCCACCCGAGGCCAGCACGGGCACCCUCACCUCCACCCAGCUCCCCCAGCGCCCUCUGCCCACCAUCCCCGAGUGCUGUCUGUGAAUCUGUUGGAGGAGGGGGUCUAUCUCUCUGGGAAGCCACUGUGCAAGAUCGCGCGGACGCUGCCAAGUGUUUCGGCCCCGCCUCGCCCCCCCGCCCCCGUCCUGCACCGCGGCUCCCCACCAUCCGCAGGCUCCGAGCGCCCCCUGCUGACCACGGUCCCACCUGCAGCUCCACGCCCUGCAGAGAGCCGGCUACUGCAGGCAGCCUGGGAUCCGGGACGGGGCAUGGGGCAAUUCCCAGCGCUGGAGCGCCGCCUCGCCCUUCUCUCAACACCCUGUGACUCACAGAGAGCGGUUAGCCCUCCUCACCCCUCUUUUCCCUCAGGGAUCGGGGUGAUUGCCUGGCACACAGCUAUGGGGAAAGGGCCUGGAAGCAUUCUCCCGGGCCUGGGACCCUCCCGCAGGCUCCCUCGAUUUUGUGGGCAGCGGGUCCUCAGCCAUUGGCUGGGGGCUGCAAAAGCCCAGGCCCGCCCCCCUCCAGUCUAA